GGUGAAGUUCACAUGUCAGCUCAGCUCCUCUGAACAUUAUCGUUCCAUUUUGGUGUGGCAUUGCCAUUUUACCUUCUUUUCAAUAAACCUUGCUAACUACAAGACCUGCCUCUUCCUUGGGGGAUUUGUUGAAGAGAUGAGUUUAGCUGGCUGUUAGCUUUAAGAACAGUACAGUAAAAUGGCAGCCUCUCAUCAGAAGAUGGAGGAAGAUAAAGAGGUUCAGCAAGAGCUUUCUGCGCAAGAAGUGCAACAAAAGGACACUGAUGAACAGUCAUUGGAGGUAAGAUCCCAUGUAUUCGGCUAGAGCAGCCUACACCAGGAAAGAAAAGGAACUAAAAAUUGAGAAAGCUCGCCUUGAAGCUGAAUUGGAUGC